AAAACAUUUCUGCAGCAUUGAAGGUCCCCAAGAGCACAGUGGCCUCCAUCAUUCUGCAGCAUUGAAGGUCCCCAAGAGCACAGUGGCCUCCAUCAUUCUGCAGCAUUGAAGGUCCCCAAGAGCACAGUGGCCUCCAUCAUUCUGCAGCAUUGAAGGUCCCCAAGAGCACAGUGGCCUCCAUCAUUCUGCAGCAUUGAAGGUCCCCAAGAGCACAGUGGCCUCCAUCAUUCUGCAGCAUUGAAGGUCCCCAAGAGCACAGUGGCCUCCAUCAUUCUGCAGCAUUGAAGGUCCCCAAGAGCACAGUGGCCUCCAUCAUUCUGCAGCAUUGAAGGUCCCCAAGAGCACAGUGGCCUCCAUCAUUCUGCAGCAUUGAAGGUCCCCAAGAGCACAGUGGCCUCCAUCAUUCUGCAGCAUUG